UCCAAAUUUAUGCCUCCAUCCCUGGCACCUCCCCUUGAGGUCUCAUAUAUCUAACUACCUUCUCAACAUCUGUACUUAGGUGUCUAUCUUUACAUGUCAAAAAGCAAGUUCUUGCUUUUAGCACCAAAUCGGCUUCUUCUUGGUCUUCUCAACCUCAGAUAAUGGCCACUCCGUUCUUUUAAUUGCUCAGUACAAAAACCUCAGAGUCAUUACCAAUUGCUCUUUUUCUCUCAUGCUCCAUGUCCAAAUCCAUGAAGGAUCCCUUGUGGCUCUUCCUUGAAAAUAUAUUCUGAUCUGGCCAUUUUUUAUCCCCUGCAUUGCUAUACCUGGGACAAGCCACUUAGACUCCUUGACUGGAUACUUGCAAACUCCUAACUGCCUGCUUCAUUUGUGCAAAGUCUGUUCUUAAAUUGAACAACCAGAAUGAUCUUGCUAACCAUUAGUCAAGUCAGGAUCCUGCCCUUAUUAAAAUCCUCCCCUAGCUCCUCGUGGCUCUCUGAGAGAAAGUCAGACCCAUUACACUGUGCAGGAAGCUCUGCAUGAUUGGGCUGUCCUCUCUAACCUCAUGUCUUUCUUCUUCCUCUCCAUGGCAGUUUUAAAACACAGCCUUCAAAUUCUUUGACACUCCUCCCAUUGAGAGGCCAGGGGUCACUGUUUCCUGCCUCCGGAUCUGGCCUCUGUGACUGUUUGACCACUAGGUUACGGCAACUCCCAUUUUUCGGCUUAUGGGACACUCACUCUUUGAAUGCAGCCAUCGUGGAUGGAGCAGGCUCCCAGUCUGUGAAGCAGGCCUGUGAACAGGAACCAAGGUCCCAGCUGACAGUCCCCACCACCUGCUCAGCUCCCCGCCAGCACCCACUUGCUAGCCACAUGAGUGAACCUAAUGGAAAUUGGGUUCCCCAGGUGAUGUCACCUGGAACUAAGAGCUAUCAGGAGACAAAAGCUGUUCUUCAGUUCAUUGAUCUGCAUCUGGUCCUGGCUUAUAGCACUGACAACGAAAAAGGUGCCAAGUCAAACUCUGCCUCAGUCCCAGGCCUUUCCUGUGAGGUGCAAGAGGUGCGGAGAUGGUCUUUGUUGAAGGGCUUGUCAACUAACAACAGUUCAAGAGAAGCUUCUGGACCAUUGAUCUUUCCAAAAAAGAGAUGAGAUGAAGAGCAGAGUGCAUUUUCAGCGACACUGGACUGAGGAGGCUAGACUCCAAAAAUCACAUUUGCUGCCUUGAUACUUCUAAUCGAAGAGAUCCUAUUGGUUAUGCUCAUAAAUCCCCCAAUCCAAUAACUUGCUAAGUCACUGUGUCCCCCUAUUUUGAUAAUGAUCAGCAAGGAACCUAGAGCAUGGUCACUCUCCAGCAUUGGCACUUUUGUUAUAUCCCUGCACUCCAGAAAGAUAUUUGCUCUUGUUGUUUCAUAGAAGGAACCAGAAUCCCACUAUUCUGACUCAGAUCAGGAUGCUCUAGGGUAAGGGGUUAGCUGUUCUCCCAAAGCCAGCUCUGCAAUACCAUGUCUUACUUACCAUCUUUCUUCCCUUAAGGCAAUGUACCCCUGUGACAAUCACAGAACCUAAGACGCCUGUUGGUGUCUUUGGUGGAAGUGAUGAUGGUGAAUCUCAUCAUUGAUUUUAGGAGAUGAUAGACACUACUAUCUUAACUUCAACUGUUUUCUGGACAAUCAUCUUGGCUUAGUAGAGGUUGGAGCACAAAGGGCUGAGUUGGGUGUACUCAUUGCAGUUCUAAACAUCUGGGGACUUUGCGUCAGUCAGAAUAAGUAAGGUUAUGCUGCAAUAAUAAAAAGACCCCACAUGUUUCAGCUUCUUAACAACCCAGAUUUCUUUCUUGUUCACAUCACAUUUCCAGCAUGGAUUGACAGGCAGGCUGUACUCACUAGGCAUUCAGGGACCCAGUUAAUGCAAGAUCCACAAUGACACAAGCCUUCUUGGUCAUCUUCUAAAGGGAAAAUCACAUUAUGGCUUCCAAAGCCUUUGCCCAGAGGUGCCAUGUCUGCUUACCUCUCGUGGACAAAAUAAGUGACAUGCCACAAGGGUUCAAUAAAUGAAAUUCAACCA